GCUGGGCGUAGUGGUGCACACCUGUAAUCCCAGUGACUCAGGAGGCUGAGGUAGGAGGAUCACAAGUUCCAGGUCAGUCUCACCAACUUAGUGAGAUCCUGUUUCAA
rnacentral:sRNA from 1 species